rnacentral:rRNA from 1 species
UUACCAGCCUUUGACAUCCCGGUCGCGAUUACCAGAGAUGGUUUUCUUCAGUUCGGCUGGACCGGUGACAGGUGCUGCAUGGCUGUCGUCAGCUCGUGUCGUGAGAUGUUGGGUUAAGUCCCGCAACGAGCGCAACCCUCGUCCUUAGUUGCCAUCAUUCAGUUGGGAACUCUAAGGAAACUGCCGGUGAUAAGCCGGAGGAAGGUGGGGAUGACGUCAAGUCCUCAUGGCCCUUACAGGCUGGGCUACACACGUGCUACAAUGGCGGUGACAGUGGGCAGCAAACUCGCGAGAGUGAGCUAAUCUCCAAAAGCCGUCUCAGUUCGGAUUGUUCUCCGCAACUCGAGAGCAUGAAGGCGGAAUCGCUAGUAAACGCGGAUCAGCAUGCCGCGGUGAAUACGUUCCCAGGCCUUGUACACACCGCCCGUCACACCAUGGGAGUUGGUUUCACCCGAAGGCAGUGCGCUAACCGCAAGGAGGCAGCUGACCACGGUGGGAUCAGCGACUGGGGUGAAGUCGUAACAAGGUAGCC